AAACCAACAGGGAUUGCCUCAGUAACGGCGAGUGAAGCGGCAAGAGCUCAAAUUUGAAAUCCGGCCCCCCUGGGGGCCUGAGUUGUAAUUUGCAGAGGAUGCUUCGGGCGCGACCGCGGUCCAAGUCCCCUGGAACGGGGCGUCGUAGAGGGUGAGAAUCCCGUCUCCGGCCGGCCGGUCUCGCCCGUGUGAAGCUCCUUCGACGAGUCGAGUUGUUUGGGAAUGCAGCUCCAAAUGGGUGGUAAAUUUCAUCUAAAGCUAAAUACUGGUCGGAGACCGAUAGCGCACAAGUAGAGUGAUCGAAAGAUGAAAAGCACUUUGAAAAGAGAGUUAAACAGCAUGUGAAAUUGUUGAAAGGGAAGCGCUUGCGACCAGAGUCGGCCGUGGGGGUUCAGCGGGCAUUCGUUGCCCGUGCAAUCCCCCGCGGCCGGGCCAGCGUCGGUUUCGACGGCCGGUCAAAGGCCCCCGGAAUGUGUCGCCUCUCGGGGCGUCUUAUAGCCGGGGGUGCAAUGCGGCCAGUCGGGACCGAGGAACGCGCUCCGGCACGGACGCUGGCUUAAUGGUCGUCAGCGAC
rnacentral:rRNA from 1 species